AAGAAGAAAAUUAUUACUUUUAUUGGUGAAUUUCAGCAUUAAAAAAAAAAAUUAUUAUUUUAUUAUUUCCCAAGAAAAAAUUAUUUUUAUUAUAGAAAAUUAGUAUUGAAAAAGAAAUUAACAAUUUUACCAAAAGAAAAUUUUAAUUAUUGUACCUUGUGUAUCAGGGUUUACCAAUUAAAAUUUAAGAUUAUUAAUUUUCUCGAAUUUAAAAGAGCUAUUUGGAUAUAGUUUUUAUUGUUGAAUAAAUAUUGGUAAUAUUCAAAUAGAAGUUAAAUGCUAACCGAUUUUAAAUAUAUCUAGUUUUUUAAGAAAAAAAUUUAAUUUUAUUUUUAUUUUAUUAUAAUUCCUUUUUUGUGGGAUUAUGCUAAUAAAAUUUUAUACUUUUAGGGAUAAGCUUAAAAGUUAAUUUAUAUAAUUAAAAUUUAAAAUUAUUUAAUAAAUAGGAUUUUUAGUUUCCAUUUUUUAAAGUGUUUUAUUACUUAUUAAAUAUUUAGAUAAAAUUUUUAUUUAAUUUAUAUUAUUUAUUAAAAUAUAAAUUUAAAUUAUUGAAAUUUAGCAAUAAUGAUAAAAUUAGUAUAAUAAAUUGUUAAGAUUUUAUUUAAAUUUUAGGUUAAAUAAAGGAAUUCGGCAAAAAAUUUUUCACCUGUUUAUUAAAAACAUGGCUUUUUGAUUAUAAUUUAAGGUCAGGCCUGCCCAAUGAAAAUUUAAUGGCCGCAGUAUUUUAACUGUGCAAAGGUAGCAUAAUCAAUAGUUUCUUAAUUAGAAGCUUGUAUGAAGGGUUAAAUGAAAAAAUAGCUGUCUCUGUUUAAAUUAAUUAAAAUUUUAUUUUUAAGUUAAAAAGCUUAAAUAUCUAUUGAAGACGAGAAGACCCUAUAGAGUUUUAUACCAAGGUUAUUUUAAUUUUUUAGUAUUGAAAAAUUUUAGUUUACUAGGUAUUUGAUUGGGGUGAUUAAAAAAUUAAAUUAACUUUUUUUGUGGAAAUUCAUUAGUUAAUGAAAAAAUGAUCCUUUAAGAAGAUUACAAGAUAAAAUUACCUUAGGGAUAACAGCGUAAUUUUUUUUAAGAGUUCUAAUCGAAAAGAAAGAUUGCGACCUCGAUGUUGGAUUAAAAUAAAAAUUUGGCGUAGCAGUUAAAUAUUUGGGUCUGUUCGACCCUUAAAAUUUUACAUGAUCUGAGUUUAAACCGGUGUGAGCCAGGUUGGCUUCUAUCUCUAUAAAUUUAAAGUAUUUUAGUACGAAAGGACCAAAUACUUAAUUAAUAAUUUUGUAUAAGAAUUUUAUUAAUAUUAU
rnacentral:rRNA from 1 species